ACUAAACUCCCUCCAUCCCAAUUUAGUUGUCUUAGAUUUGUCUAGUACAAAUGUAUCUAGACAUGUUUUAGUGCUAGAUACAUCCAUAUCUAGACAAAUCUAAGUCAACUAAUUUGGGACGGAGGUAAUACUGG
rfam:Triticum aestivum genome assembly, contig: Triticum_aestivum_CS42_TGACv1_scaffold_051418_1BS